rnacentral:rRNA from 1 species
GACGAACGCUGGCGGCGUGCUUAACACAUGCAAGUCGAACGGAAAGGCCCUGCUUUUGUGGGGUGCUCGAGUGGCGAACGGGUGAGUAACACGUGAGUAACCUGCCCUUGACUUUGGGAUAACUUCAGGAAACUGGGGCUAAUACCGGAUAGGAGCUCCUGCUGCAUGGUGGGGGUUGGAAAGUUUCGGCGGUUGGGGAUGGACUCGCGGCUUAUCAGCUUGUUGGUGGGGUAGUGGCUUACCAAGGCUUUGACGGGUAGCCGGCCUGAGAGGGUGACCGGCCACAUUGGGACUGAGAUACGGCCCAGACUCCUACGGGAGGCAGCAGUGGGGAAUAUUGCACAAUGGGCGGAAGCCUGAUGCAGCAACGCCGCGUGCGGGAUGACGGCCUUCGGGUUGUAAACCGCUUUCGCCUGUGACGAAGCGUGAGUGACGGUAAUGGGUAAAGAAGCACCGGCUAACUACGUGCCAGCAGCCGCGGUGAUACGUAGGGUGCGAGCGUUGUCCGGAUUUAUUGGGCGUAAAGGGCUCGUAGGUGGUUGAUCGCGUCGGAAGUGUAAUCUUGGGGCUUAACCCUGAGCGUGCUUUCGAUACGGGUUGACUUGAGGAAGGUAGGGGAGAAUGGCAUUCCUGGUGGAGCGGUGGAAUGCGCAGAUAUCAGGAGGAACACCAGUGGCGAAGGCGGUUCUCUGGGCCUUUCCUGACGCUGAGGAGCGAAAGCGUGGGGAGCGAACAGGCUUAGAUACCCUGGUAGUCCACGCUGUAAACGGUGGGUACUAGGUGUGGGGUCCAUUCCACGGGUUCCGUGCCGUAGCUAACGCUUUAAGUACCCCGCCUGGGGAGUACGGCCGCAAGGCUAAAACUCAAAGGAAUUGACGGGGCCCCGCACAAGCGGCGGAGCAUGCGGAUUAAUUCGAUGCAACGCGUAGAACCUUACCAGGGUUUGACAUGGAUCGGGAGCGCUCAGAGAUGGGUGUGCCUCUUUUGGGGUCGGUUCACAGGUGGUGCAUGGCUGUCGUCAGCUCGUGUCGUGAGAUGUUGGGUUAAGUCCCGCAACGAGCGCAACCCUUGUUCACUGUUGCCAGCACGUUAUGGUGGGGACUCAGUGGAGACCGCCGGGGUCGACUCGGAGGAAGGUGGGGAUGACGUCAAGUCAUCAUGCCCCUUAUGUCCAGGGCUUCACGCAUGCUACAAUGGCUGGUACAGAGAGUGGCGAGCCUGUGAGGGUGAGCGAAUCUCGGAAAGCCGGUCUCAGUUCGGAUUGGGGUCUGCAACUCGACCUCAUGAAGUCGGAGUCGCUAGUAAUCGCAGAUCAGCAACGCUGCGGUGAAUAAGUUCCCGGGGCU